rnacentral:tRNA from 1 species
UGGGAUAUAGCUCAGUGGUAGAGCGUCUGCCUAGCAUGCAUGAAGUCCUGGGUUCAAUUCCCAGUACUGCAA